CUCUCCACAAAAGUCACUGAGCUUGGUGCUCGUCACCCCAUCACCGGCAGCCGCCCCAUCCGCACGGUUCUCCAGGGAGAGCACCAACCACUCACGGGGACCUGGCUUUGCUGAUUGCCUUUUUCCGGGGGAAAACCACACUUGUCCCCUCUUUAGAGCCAGAAGUAGGCUUGCUGGAGUCCCUGUGCGUGAGGCUCCUACCCUCCCAGGAAACUGGGAAAACUCAAAGAUGCAGCUCCCGGCUGCGUGGGGAUCUAACUGGGUUGUACAACUGGCCAGAGGCGUCUUUAGCCGUCAAAGAGAUGGACGCAAAAGGAGGUAGGGAAAGAACUUACAUGUUCUCUAAAGAGAAUGCGCUAAGAAAAGGGAGGAGAAAAUCUGUUUCCUUUUUCUGCACCUGGGAGUAUUAACCUUGUCUUAUUUCUAAUGUGCAUUUUCCUGUACAGACGUCCCUGCCGGCCACUACUCAGAGCCCAGGUGAGGGACUCCCAAGGCCCAGGGGGUUCAAGGGCCUUCCUGAACAAAAGCGUUUGGGGAGGGGGGUGUCUCUCAAGAGACUGCAUUUCCACAACCAGCCCCCCUGUGAGGUCUGGGCUGCUGCUGGGGACGUCAGCCUUUGCAUCUAGGCCCUGCAGGGUGUUGGGGGAGAUGGGACGGUGUUUCUCUUGCAGCCCCUCGAACGUGAGCCCCUGGCAAAGGAGGAGGAAGGGGCUGGAGCUGUCGGAAGUUCUCCCAGAGAGCCCUGGGAGAUCCUGGACAUGGUCCCAGUGAAGGCAAGAGGCUGGGAGACCUCCUCUGAGUAGGCUGUGGGUGAAGUGAGUGUUCUUGCAGUAAAGUAAGCCCGAGAAAAUAAAACGUCAGGAACAUCGUAAAGAGGAGGAAAUGUAAUGCUGUCUUAUAUUUAUUGGGAAGAAAUCCGCAGAUUUUAUUUAUUUGAGAGAGUGAGUGCGCACGCGCGCGAGAGAGCAUAGAGGCAGAGGCAGAGGGAGAAGCAGACUCCCCGCCGAACGGAGAGCGCAACGCAGGGCUCGAUCCCAGGACCCCGAGACCAUGACCCGAGCCGAAGGCAGACACCCAACCGACUGAGCCACCCAGGUGCCCCAGCCCUUACUUCUUGAAAUCAGUUUGUUGAAGAAGCAGAACUCCUAUGCGCGAAUCAAGGAUCGUAAGCCAGCCUGGUUGUGAUCCCCGCCCCCCAUCCCUGCUCAGGCAGCUCCAGGACCGUCGUGAUCACGAACAAAUAGGAGAAAGUGCUAGGACUUUAAAUCUCAAGUCUGAACGUCGUAAUUAAAAUUGCCAAGUCCCAGAUAAAAACGAACACCGAACACCUCUCCGGGUGAAAAUGCCUUUCGUCUUGCUUGCCUUCGAGGAAGGAAUUGUUCAGCU